rnacentral:rRNA from 1 species
UACAGAGGCCUCGAGCGUUAGGCGGAAUCACUGGGCUUAAAGCGUGUGUAGGCGGAUCGUUAAGUGCCUUGUGAAAUCCCACGGCUUAACCGUGGAACUGCUUGGCAUACUGGCGGUCUUGAGCCACUUAGGGGCGACCGGAACAAACGGUGGAGCGGUGAAAUGCGUAGAUAUCGUUUGGAACACCAAAGGUGAAAACAGGUCGCUAGGAGUGUGCUGACGCUGAGACACGAAAGCCAGGGGAGCAAACGGG